AGAGUUUGAUCCUGGCUCAGGAUGAACGCUGGCGGCGUGCCUAAUACAUGCAAGUCGAACGCUUUGUGGUUCAACUGAUUUGAAGAGCUUGCUCAGAUAUGACGAUGGACAUUGCAAAGAGUGGCGAACGGGUGAGUAACACGUGGGAAACCUACCUCUUAGCAGGGGAUAACAUUUGGAAACAGAUGCUAAUACCGUAUAACAAUGACAACCGCAUGGUUGUUAUUUAAAAGAUGGUUCUGCUAUCACUAAGAGAUGGUCCCGCGGUGCAUUAGCUAGUUGGUAAGGUAAUGGCUUACCAAGGCGAUGAUGCAUAGCCGAGUUGAGAGACUGAUCGGCCACAAUGGGACUGAGACACGGCCCAUACUCCUACGGGAGGCAGCAGUAGGGAAUCUUCCACAAUGGGCGAAAGCCUGAUGGAGCAACGCCGCGUGUGUGAUGAAGGGUUUCGGCUCGUAAAACACUGUUGUAAGAGAAGAAUGACAUUGAGAGUAACUGUUCAAUGUGUGACGGUAUCUUACCAGAAAGGAACGGCUAAAUACGUGCCAGCAGCCGCGGUAAUACGUAUGUUCCAAGCGUUAUCCGGAUUUAUUGGGCGUAAAGCGAGCGCAGACGGUUAUUUAAGUCUGAAGUGAAAGCCCUCAGCUCAACUGAGGAAUUGCUUUGGAAACUGGAUGACUUGAGUGCAGUAGAGGAAAGUGGAACUCCAUGUGUAGCGGUGAAAUGCGUAGAUAUAUGGAAGAACACCAGUGGCGAAGGCGGCUUUCUGGACUGUAACUGACGUUGAGGCUCGAAAGUGUGGGUAGCAAACAGGAUUAGAUACCCUGGUAGUCCACACCGUAAACGAUGAGUGCUAGGUGUUUGAGGGUUUCCGCCCUUAAGUGCCGCAGCUAACGCAUUAAGCACUCCGCCUGGGGAGUACGACCGCAAGGUUGAAACUCAAAGGAAUUGACGGGGACCCGCACAAGCGGUGGAGCAUGUGGUUUAAUUCGAAGCAACGCGAAGAACCUUACCAGGUCUUGACAUCCCUUGACAACUCCAGAGAUGGAGCGUUCCCUUCGGGGACAAGGUGACAGGUGGUGCAUGGUUGUCGUCAGCUCGUGUCGUGAGAUGUUGGGUUAAGUCCCGCAACGAGCGCAACCCUUAUUACUAGUUGCCAGCAUUCAGUUGGGCACUCUAGUGAGACUGCCGGUGACAAACCGGAGGAAGGUGGGGAUGACGUCAAAUCAUCAUGCCCCUUAUGACCUGGGCUACACACGUGCUACAAUGGCGUAUACAACGAGUUGCCAACCCGCGAGGGUGAGCUAAUCUCUUAAAGUACGUCUCAGUUCGGAUUGUAGGCUGCAACUCGCCUACAUGAAGUCGGAAUCGCUAGUAAUCGCGGAUCAGCACGCCGCGGUGAAUACGUUCCCGGGUCUUGUACACACCGCCCGUCACACCAUGAGAGUUUGUAACACCCAAAGCCGGUGGGGUAACCUUCGGGAGCCAGCCGUCUAAGGUGGGACAGAUG
rnacentral:rRNA from 1 species